UGGAAACAGAGGCUCUGUGACAUCUCCAGUGAGCUUAUUAUCUUCUGAUCAGCUUAAUUUUAGGAGGUAACUGGUCCAAGACCCUAACACUCUGGGAGUGUUAGAACCAUGUAACCUCAGUAUGCCAGGAUAAUCCUGAGCUCAUCCAUUGCCAGAUUAUUCUCCAGGGCUGAUGUUCUAUGAGGAAGCUUGAAGAGUUGAGAUCCAUAGGAGGAAAUGUAGAUGGUAUAAAGGAGAACUGAUUUGAAGAAAGAGCACAAAACCAAGAAGGAGGAACUCCUGUCCCACUUAAUAAUCUACUUAUGUGAUGAGUUUAUACCACCUGUGCUAUUGGAAGGACACUGACGAGGUCCCCAGAACAACACAUGCUGCACCAACACACAACCUUGUGUCUUAAAUGAGCUCAGGGAAACAAGCAACUUUCCAAAACAUUUAUAGGAAAUACAAGAUAUAACAAGUGCGUUUGUGUAUGUGUGUAUUUUAUGUGUGUUAUUUUGUCCUUGAGGGAUUAGGUAUGUGUUCAGUAUAUUGAUUCUGAACUUAGUUUUGGGGAUAGGAUGUAUCACCCAAAUUAUUUCCAGAUUUUCUGAUGAAGGUUUUUCAGUGGCUGCUUCAGUCAGCAGCAUGUGGACUCCAGACCAAAGUCCCACUAUGUUGACUCAGCUUCAGUUCCUGAAGCAAGACUCCUCAUUUCACUCUGAGGGAAGAAUUAGAAAUAAAGAAUAAGCCUUCUUUAAACUGUCAAGUUGAGAUUUUUGAGUUAACUUUUUUUCCCUCAUUUUUUUUUUUUUUUGAGGAAGAUUAGCCCUGAGCUAACUACUGCCAGUCCUCCUCUUUUUGCUGAGGAAGGCUGGCACUGAGCUAACAUCG
rnacentral:lncRNA from 1 species